UUUCUCUGUUUGUGCUCUGUUUUUUUUGGGCAUGGCCAUGCCUCCUGUGUCUAUGUUUGUUCUGUUUAUCGAGUUUUUCUUUUGAGUUUUUGUUUGCAUUAUUAUGUGUUCUGUUUUUUUUCUUUUAAUAUGUGUUGGGUGAGGAUGGAGAUUGAUGUUCGCGAGGGACUGCAUAUGCGGGAAUUUCAAGCAUUGAUGAGACUCCUCUUACAAUAUCCAAAGCCCUGCUAUUGUCUUAGUUGAAGCAGAACAGUCUCCAGUGGAAAUACUGAUGAAUUUCAAAGAAAGCCUUAGGGAUAGCAAUGGCAUUCUGCAUGACUGAGGUUUCAGGGAACAGAUUUGGAGGGUCAUUUCCAGGAUGGCUGUCUAACUGUAAAAAAUUGGUCAAGUUGGACUUGAGCUUCAAUGGAUUUUUGGGAUCCCUGCCUGAAGCUAUUUCAGAUUUUUGCAGUUUAACCCAUUUGGACCCAUUUGGAUAUUUCAACAAAUAGAAUUUCGCGAUUCAUUCCAGAGAGUGUGAUUCCUAAGCUUCAGUACCUCAAUGUCUCAGAUUGCCAGUUUAGUGGGUCCAAUUCCAUCAUUUCUUGCUAAUCUUUCAAAUGGGUAUUUUAUGUCCACAUGCACAUAGCAUCUACAGUUUGUUUUCCACUCCACAAAACAUUUUGGUCUGCUCCACAUUGGGUGCAGAUCAAAAUACUCGUUUCUGCAGUCGAUGAACUUCACCAUUGCAGCCGUAGAUUGGAUCAUGCACUCUAGCACUCGCUUCAUAUACCAUGCUUUUUACAGCUUCUUCUCUCUUCUCAACCGGAAUAUCCUGAAGUAACAAAAAAACAUAACAAAGGCUGACAGAUUAAAUUAGGGUUCUUACUUUUUGUUAGAGUAUAUACUAAAGGCUUCCAUAUUUGUGCAAACAUAGAAAAGGAAUAACGUUAGAGGAGAUCUUUGCACAAUCCCUAAAACAGCAUUUGCCCUGUACCUUAAGGGUUUUGACAAUCCUGCUUGUUCCAAAUAAUUUGUUCACUUGUAAAAAUUUGUGAGGAUCGUCCGGUGGGAAAUAGGGUGCAAGCACGCAUUUAUCUUACAGGCAGCACAAGGAUAUAGAAUAUGAGACAUCUCUUGGGCUUUCUGUUCCAUCCGAAUUAAACAGGAGAACAAAAUUUUAUGUACGAUUUAAGAGUAAAGCUAGCAGAUCAGAGUCGUAAUCGAUGAACGCUUAUCAAAACUACGAAUUUAAGAGUAAAGCUAUGUGCAUGUGUACGAUUUAAGAGUAAAUCUAGCAGAUCUGCUCCACAUUGAGCAAAUUGUAGCUCUAAAAAUUAGAGGAUGGGUGGCAAAAAUUGGAUACUUUAAUUUGUUGCUAAUGCCAGACUUUUUGUAAAUGUUUCAGCGACACUCUGGCUCAGAAUUUUGUGUGGCAUUUUUGUACAAUCAAAUUUACUAUUCCUAGAAACUUUAUGUACAAACUAGGAACAAGAAGUAAGUCAUUCCAAUGAGUCUACCCAUUCCAGCAAUUAUUAAUUUAUAU